rnacentral:lncRNA from 1 species
GUCGGCCGGCAGCGCGCCGACGAUGGCCACGGGCACCUGGCCCACCGAGCGCGUCGUCGUCGUGGUCACGGUCGCCUCGCGCGACAUCUUGCUCGCUUGUAUUUUCUUUUCCUUUCUUGUGAGUUGUUAUCUCUUUUUUUCCUUUCUUUUUUCUUUCACUGGCGGCAGGUGCUCGGCACUUUCCUUGCCUCUGUUUGCCGACCCCUUUGGCGAGAGGCGCCCCGUAUGGCACCCACGCGCGCGCGACAACACGACCGAUGCCAGGCUGCUCGUGGGAAAAAAAAAGACCGCCAGGAGGCCGGUGGCAGGGGUGCCUCUGCCGCCGGCCUCCGCUACCCGUUUGGCCCUGAUUCGCGGCGGCGCCCCAUACGCCACCGACGACAGCCACACCGAGCGAAAUUGAAUUCUAAAUAAAAAAGCGAGGCGUGCUGCGGCGGCCGCCAGGCAGGUCCGCCUCCAUUUUUUUGCACACUCCCAGAGCCCGGCAUCGGGAAAAAAUCAACAAUCGCCCGAAAGGCACGCAGAGGGAAGAAAAAAAAAAGAAAGAGGCUGCUCAGAGGGCCAUCAGCAGAGCCAACUUGCCACAGAGACGGCCGGUGCUCGCCAGGUCCUCGUCAUCGAGCGGCAGGCCGAGGACCCGCGCGGUCGCAGCGAGUUGCGCCACCUCGGGCGGAUCGGCGAUCCCGGCGCAGGCCCGGCGCCACGCGGCGCGCUGGGUCGUGAGCACC